CACGGGGGGAGCAAGCGUUGUUCGGAAUCACUGGGCGUAAAGGGCGUGUAGGCGGUCAGGUAAGUGAGACGUGAAAUGCCCCGGCUUACCCGGGGACCUGCGUCUCAUACUGCUUGGCUUGAGUACGGGAGAGGGUGUGGGAAUUCCUGGUGUAGCGGUGAAAUGCGUAGAUAUCAGGAGGAGCACCGGUGGCGAAGGCGCACACCUGGCCCGAUACUGACGCUGAGGCGCGAAAGCUAGGGGAGCAAACGGG
rnacentral:rRNA from 1 species